GAGCAAAUAUUCCCCCCCCCCCCCGCUUCGCUUUUAAAGGUCAGGCGUCGACCUGGCCAGGAGGGUCAAAGGCGCGCGCGCGGGCGGAGGUGGAACCCUCGGAACCUCCUCUGCGGGGCGCGUGCGCACCUCUGCUCCUGUAGCUCAGCGGCAAAGGCGGGUCGCAGGUACUUGGCUUCUCGGGGAAAAUAGAAGGAGAACGACUUUCUUGAGGAAGGUUGAGUGUGAUUUUGCAGAAAGAUAAAAUGAAACCUUGCCCCCCCUGGUUUUGCAAGCAGAGAUGU